rnacentral:tRNA from 1 species
GUGGCUCAGUGGUAGAGUGCUUGCCUUGCAAGCAUGAGGGCCUGGGUUCAAUUCCUCAGC